AUUGAACGCUGGCGGCAGGCCUAACACAUGCAAGUCGAACGCGUGGCGGACGGGUGAGUAAUGUCUGGGAAACUGCCCGAUGGAGGGGGAUAACUACUGGAAACGGUAGCUAAUACCGCAUCCCAUCGGCUGUGCCCAGAUGGUAUUAGCUAGUAGGUGGGGUAACGGCUCACCUAGGCGACGAUCCCUAGCUGGUCUGAGAGGAUUACCAGCCAAACGGGAACUGAGGCACGGUCCAGACUCCUACGGGAGGCAGCAGUGGGGAAUAUUGCACAAUGGGCGCAAGCCUGAUGCAGCCAUGCCGCGUGUAUGAAGAAGGCCUUCGGGUUGUAAAGUCCUUUCAGCGAGGAGGCGUUACUCGCAGAAGAAGCACCGGCUAACUCCGUGCCAGCAGCCGCGGUAAUAC
rnacentral:rRNA from 1 species